AGAUUGAACGCUGGCGGCAUGCCUUACACAUGCAAGUCGAACGGCAGCACGGGAGCAAUCCUGGUGGCGAGUGGCGAACGGGUGAGUAAUACAUCGGAACGUGCCCAGUUGUGGGGGAUAGCCCGGCGAAAGCCGGAUUAAUACCGCAUACGACCUACGGGUGAAAGCGGGGGAUCGCAAGACCUCGCGCUAUUGGAGCGGCCGAUGUCGGAUUAGCUUGUUGGUGGGGUAAAAGCCCACCAAGGCUACGAUCCGUAGCUGGUCUGAGAGGACGACCAGCCACACUGGGACUGAGACACGGCCCAGACUCCUACGGGA
rnacentral:rRNA from 1 species